UGAGAGAAAAAAUGAUUGACUCAUGGUCUUUAACCAAAGACUAAACAGAAAUCCUGCAAGUGUUAAACUCUGACGCCUCCAUUUUGGUUUACAGGAAGUUGCUGUCAGAGUCUUCUUCAGAGGUUUUUGUGUGGUUUCUGGUGCAGCGCCCCCACAGGCGAGGAGGGGAACAGGUUGAUCAAAGGGUUUGAUUCGUUAGGCUCAGAGCAGAGAGAAAGAGAACCACAGCAGCUGGAGAUGGAACAAAUGUUGC